rnacentral:lncRNA from 1 species
AGCCUUGCUAUGUUUCCCAGACUUGUCUCAAACUUCUGGCCUCAAUCCUCCCUCCUCGACUUCCCAAAGUCCUGGGAUUACAGGCAUGAGCCACUGCAGCUGGCAAAAAUAUAAAUUUCUAACUGUAGGAAUUCACUCUAAGGGUAUACUUGCAGUUGUACUUAACAGUUUAUUAUGGUGAUAUUUAUCACAGAAAUGUUUAUAAUCAUCCUCAUAAAAUGAUAGCCUUAGGAGAUCUUUUUAAUGUGCUAGCUUGGCAAAUUUUUUUUUUUUAAAAAACUGACAAGUCUGUAUUGUCUCCAGUAGCAAAGACUCACUAGCCCAUGAAACAAUAAGUCUAAGAAUAAAUUUAUUAGAUCUAUUAAUAUAUCCCUCUAAGACUUGGUAUUAGAGAUAAAAGUUUGUAUCUAUAUGGCUUAUAGGCAACCCAGUCACAGAUAAUCUUCUCUAGUGAGAAAAGGUGCCAGGAAAUUCACUUUGAUUUGAGUCAUUGAAUGUGAGAACCUCUCUACCACCAGCCCAGGAGGGUACCUGAGGACACUUGUGGUCAUGGAAGAUAACGGCUCUCAGAAGUGUAGAGGGUAUAGGCUGUGUGGCUAUAUAGUACUACUACUCAAAGAAAGGAUUUAAUGAGGCCUUUUCUGUGUCCAGAGAUUAAAUGAAAAAGCUGCCCAGCCCCUGGCAUGGAUCUCUGGGAAGAGAUGGAAAUGGUGCCCCAUUCCAGGAGAGAGUUCUCAGAACUGGCUGUGUUCAGAGAGCCCCGUAAUUGGGAGUCAAAGCAUGCUGCUUCUCUGAUUAGACCCAGCACCAGGACCAGGAUUAUAACACAAAUGCCUCGAGACACCAGGCAGGCGAUAUAAAGGCUUCUAUGAGGCUGUGUGUAAAACACAGACAUUAAUAUUAGCCAUGAAAUGUGUGUUGUCAAAUAAACCACUACUGAGGGUCAGAUUUGGCACACAGGUGGCCAGUUUAUGACCCUUGACUGAGGGAAUGAGUUCAUCCUUCUUCUGUAGGAAUCCUUCUGCAGGAAUCUGGUUCAGACAGGCGCUCUACCCAGGGUACACAGGGCUGCUGCUGUGUGGUGCAGGGCCAGUGUCAAUAUCAGCAGUGGUGCCACGUGGCAGUGAGGAGCAGGAGCGAGCUGACCCAUCCAGCUUUCUACAGAUACUGGAUCUUCUGUUGAUAGCACAGCACCCUGGAUAGCUCUCUACACAUGUGGAGCCAGCAUUCUAAGAAGAGUCUAAUUUCAUCUUUAUUCUUUCAAAAACGAGCCUGAAACGAAA